GUGAGGAAUUUUCCGCAAUGGAGGCAACUCUGACCCAGCCAUGCCGCGUGCAGGAUGACGGCCCUCUGGGUUGUAAACUGCUUUUAUACGGGAAGAAAAAAUACUACGUGUAGUAUACUGACGGUACCGUAAGAAUAAGGAUCGGCUAACUCCGUGCCAGCAGCCGCGGUAAUACGGAGGAUCCAAGCGUUGUCCGGAUUUAUUGGGUUUAAAGGGUGCGUAGGCGGAUCUUUAAGUCAGUGGUGAAAGCCUGCAGCUUAACUGUAGAAUUGCCAUUGAAACUGAAGAUCUUGAAUGUGGUUAAAGUAGGCGGAAUGUAUCAUGUAGCGGUGAAAUGCUUAGAUAUGAUACAGAACACCGAUAGCGAAGGCAGCUUGCUGAACCAUUAUUGACGCUGAGGCACGAAAGCGUGGGGAGCGAACAGGAUUAGAAACCCGUGUAGUCC
rnacentral:rRNA from 1 species